rnacentral:rRNA from 1 species
UAUCUCCGUCUCGCAAGAGACUGCUAUAUAGGUGCUGCAUGGCUGUCGUCAGCUCGUGUCGUGAGAUGUUGGGUUAAGUCCCGCAACGAGCGCAACCCUUAUCGUUAGUUGCCAUCAGGUCAAGCUGGGCACUCUAGCGAAACCGCCUCGGAUAACGGGGAGGAAGGUGGGGAUGACGUCAAGUCCUCAUGGCCUUUAUGUCCAGGGCUACACACGUGCUACAAUGCACGGUACAAACCGUCGCAAACCCGUGAGGGGGAGCUAAUCGGAAAAAGCCGUGCUCAGUUCGGAUUGGAGUCUGCAACCCGACUCCAUGAAGCUGGAAUCGCUAGUAAUCGCAGAUCAGAACGCUGCGGUGAAUACGUUCCCGGGCCUUGUACACACCGCCCGUCACAUCACGAAAGUGGACUGCACUAGAAGCCGGCGUGCCAACUCGCAAGAGGGGUAGCCGUCCAAGGUAUGGUUCAUGAUUGGGGUGAAGUCGUAACAAGGUAGCCGUAA